ACCUAGAUAGCUCAGUCAGUAGCGCAUGAGACUCUUAAUCUCAGAGUCAUGGGUUCAAGCCCCAUGUUGGGCA